AGCGAACGCUGGCGGCAGGCCUAACACAUGCAAGUCGAACGAUCCUUCGGGAUAGUGGCGGACGGGUGAGUAACACGUGGGAACGUGCCCUUUGGUUCGGAACAACUCAGGGAAACUUGAGCUAAUACCGAAUGUGCCCUUCGGGGGAAAGAUUUAUCGCCAUUGGAGCGGCCCGCGUCUGAUUAGCUAGUUGGUGAGGUAACGGCUCACCAAGGCGACGAUCAGUAACUGGUCUGAGAGGAUGAUCAGCCACAUUGGGACUGAGACACGGCCCAAACUCCUACGGGAGGCAGCAGUGGGGAAUUUUGCGCAAUGGGCGAAAGCCUGACGCAGCCAUACCGCGUGAAUGAUGAAGGUCUUAGGAUUGUAAAAUUCUUUCACCGGGGACGAUAAUGACGGUACCCGGAGAAGAAGCUCCGGCUAACUUCGUGCCAGCCGCCGCCGUAAGAC
rnacentral:rRNA from 1 species